GACGAACGCUGGCGGCGUGCCUAAUACAUGCAAGUUGAGCGCUGAAGGUUGGUACUUGUACCAACUGGAUGAGCAGCGAACGGGUGAGUAACGCGUGGGGAAUCUGCCUUUGAGCGGGGGACAACAUUUGGAAACGAAUGCUAAUACCGCAUAAAAACUUUAAACACAAGUUUUAAGUUUGAAAGAUGCAAUUGCAUCACUCAAAGAUGAUCCCGCGUUGUAUUAGCUAGUUGGUGAGGUAAAGGCUCACCAAGGCGAUGAUACAUAGCCGACCUGAGAGGGUGAUCGGCCACAUUGGGACUGAGACACGGCCCAAACUCCUACGGGAGGCAGCAGUAGGGAAUCUUCGGCAAUGGACGAAAGUCUGACCGUGCAACGCCGCGUGAGUGAAGAAGGUUUUCGGAUCGUAAAACUCUGUUGGUAGAGAAGAACGUUGGUGAGAGUGGAAAGCUCAUCAAGUGACGGUAACUACCCAGAAAGGGACGGCUAACUACGUG
rnacentral:rRNA from 1 species